UGGGGAAUCUUGCGCAAUGGGCGAAAGCCUGACGCAGCGACGCCGCGUGCGGGAAGAAGGCCUUCGGGUUGUAAACCGCUUUCAGGAGGGACGAAGCCACUCGGGCUAAUACCCCGUAGUGGUGACGGUACCUCCAGAAGAAGCCCCGGCUAACUACGUGCCAGCAGCCGCGGUAAUACGUAGGGGGCAAGCGUUGUCCGGAUUUAUUGGGCGUAAAGAGCGUGUAGGCGGCCAGGUAGGUCCGUUGUGAAAACUCGAGGCUCAACCUCGAGCUGUCGAUGGAAACCAUCUGGCUAGAGUCCGGAAGAGGAGAGUGGAAUUCCCGGUGUAGCGGUGAAAUGCGCAGAUAUCGGGAAGAACACCCAUGGCGAAGGCAGCUCUCUGGGACGGUACUGACGCUGAGACGCGAAAGCGUGGGGAGCGAACAG
rnacentral:rRNA from 1 species